UAAAAUAAUUGAUUUUAUAAUUAAAUUAUCGCUAAAGGGGCUUUGAGUGACAAAACCGUCACUGAAGGUGUUCUUGAGGGUUCAUCAAACCCAGAUAUGCAUGGCAUUUAACCAGGUGGUAUGUUUGACCAGUCACCAAUUCUUGAUCUUAAUGUUUUCUAGGCAGUUAAAGUGUUAGGAUUCUAGUACUUAUGUAAUACUACAAUAACCAAUCAAUUGUAUGGCCAAAACAUAUCAAAUCAGAAAGAUUCAAGCCUUCAAAAAUCUUGUCAGAGCUGUUUUUCAUUUCUGGGUUUUCCAAAAAUGAAGAACAGUUGCAGGGUACCUACUUUGGAUCCUUAUAACUUGUAUCCUGGUUCUACUUUAUGUGAUCUAAAGGUUCAUAACUCUAGUACAGAUGUCAAAGAACAACUAUGUAUCUACAGAUCAACAUAACAACAUCACACAUGACAGAUCAAGGUUGGUCAAACCUUGUUAGAAAAACGAGUCUUGAAAAAUCUGGGUUUUUCAGAUUUGUUCUUCACGCAGACUGGUCAACCUACUUUGACCUUGUAUAACUUUGAUUCUGUUAAGCAUCUGGGUGAUCUAAAGUGUUAGAUGUAUAGCCUAUAUGUCAGUCUACAAGCCCGAAACAACAACAUAACAAAAAACAUUAAACACAGUAAGAUCUAAGGCCUGCAAAAUGUUGUCAGAAAUUUUGGGUUUCUGGGUUUACCCAGAUUUGCAGUUUUUUUAUGAUCGGUCAACGUGCUUUGACCGCUUAUAUCUAUCAAUCUACACAUGAUCUGACCUCGUUUCCAAUUUCAGAUCAUAGUCCACAUGGAAUAGAACAAAUAUAUAACAUAAAACAACACAAAGCAAAAACAGAGAAGGAUCUAGGGCCUUUGACAUUCGGCUGUCAGACAAUAUUUUAGCGUUCAUAGUC
rnacentral:lncRNA from 1 species